rnacentral:lncRNA from 1 species
GCCAGAUCUGAACCCAGGACCUCCCUUCUCCAGGCCUGGCUCUCACUCCACUGAGCUACCCAGCUGCCCCCUUCUUGUAUUCGUUUUAAUAUAUUACAAACAUUUUUGUGUGGUCUCUUCCGUUAGAACGUCGGCUUCUUGAGGGAAGGUAUGGCUUCACUUUUGUCUUUAGAGCAGCGCUCCAGCACUUUGCACAGCCCCAGAUGCAUUUCUAAUUCCACAGUAAGUGCUUACUGAAUGACACGAUUGAGGAUUGAUUUUGCACCUGUGCCAAUGCAACGUCUUUACCGAGUCACUUGGGGAAGGCACUAGCAUCGGAGGGCAUAGGAAAGGCCACUUGGAGGCGGUGGGCCUGGAGCGGACCUUGAAGGAAAUCAAGAGUUUCCAAGUGGGAUCAAUGAGAAGAGAAUGCAAUCUGGAUGUGGGGGACAAAGCAGAGAUAGGAGACAGAAUGCCAUUUGGGAGGAACAAAAGAUCAGUUUUACUGAAAUGUAAGUAGAAAGGUAGGCUUUAGCAGCGCUGGGAGUCAAGAAGAUUCCCCUUCCUGAGUUCAAGUCUGGUACCAGGUACUUAGGAGCUGUGUGACCCUGGGUAAGUCACUCUGCCCUGUUUGCCUCAGUUUCCUCAUCCAUCAAAUGAACUGGAGAAGGACAAGGCAAACCAUUCCGGUAUCUCUGCCAAGAAAGCCCCAAGUGGGGCCACGAAGAGUUAAUCACGACUGAAAAGUAACUAAAUGACAAUAAGGUUUGAGCUACCUGCGUACUAAGCUCACCCUUCCAGGUGAGUAGGGUGCAGGCACACCAUAAGCUCCCUCUCUUCAUAAUUAUUAACUUAAGUCUAGACCAAGCUGGCAAUCCAGAAAUCAAAAUCCAAACAGGCUUCCGUGAAUCCUUGUUCUGUGUUUUUCUUAUUACAAGAUACCAUAGUGGAAGGGGAUUAAGAGCUCUCUUUGGGUUCAAGACCUGCUCUGAUGGAUUUAGCGGAUGGCUUUGGGCAGGUCCUUCCUUUCUCUGGGCCUCAGAGGACUCCCCUAUAAGCUGCUCCCACCCCCCAUCUC